rnacentral:rRNA from 1 species
GACAGAGGUGCCAAGCGUUAGGCGGAAUCACUGGGCUUAAAGCGUGUGUAGGCGGACUUCUAAGUACCUUGUGAAAUCCCACGGCUCACCCGUGGAACUGCUUGGUAUACUGGUUGUCUUGAGCCUUCUAGGGGCGAGUGGAACAAAUGGUGGAGCGGUGAAAUGCGUAGAUAUCAUUUGGAACGCCAAUGGUGAAAACAACUCGCUGGGGAAGUGCUGACGCUGAGACACGAAAGCCAGGGGAGCGAACGGG